rnacentral:rRNA from 1 species
UACGAAGGGGGCUAGCGUUGCUCGGAAUUACUGGGCGUAAAGCGCACGUAGGCGGACAUUUAAGUCAGGGGUGAAAUCCCAGAGCUCAACUCUGGAACUGCCUUUGAUACUGGGUGUCUUGAGUAUGGAAGAGGUGAGUGGAAUUCCGAGUGUAGAGGUGAAAUUCGUAGAUAUUCGGAGGAACACCAGUGGCGAAGGCGGCUCACUGGUCCAUUACUGACGCUGAGGUGCGAAAGCGUGGGGAGCGAACAGG